CGGAGCCUACGGGACGCAGCAGUGAGGAAUAUUGGUCAAUGGGAGAGAUCCUGAACCAGCCAAGCCGCGUGAGGGAAGACGGCCCUAUGGGUUGUAAACCUCUUUUGUCGGAGAACAAAACCCGGGACGAGUCCCGGACUGCGUGUAUCCGAAGAAAAAGCAUCGGCUAACUCCGUGCCAGCAGCCGCGGUAAUACGGAGGAUGCGAGCGUUAUCCGGAUUUAUUGGGUUUAA
rnacentral:rRNA from 1 species